AUGGCGUACUGCUCAGUAACACGUGGACAACCUACCCUUAGGACGGGGGUAAACCGGGAAACUGGGUAUAAUACCCGAUGGUCCUCGGCUGCUGGAAUGCAUCGAGGACUAAAGCUCCGGCGCCUAAGGAUGGGUCUGCGGCCUAUCAGGUAGUAGUGGGUGUAGCGUACCUACUAGCCUACGACGGGUACGGGUUGUGAGAGCAAGAGCCCGGAGAUGGAUUCUGAGACACGAAUCCAGGCCCUACGGGGUGCAGCAGGCGCGAAAACUUUACAAUGCUGGCAACAGCGAUAAGGGAACCUCGAGUGCCAGGUUACAAAUCUGGCUGUCGUGAUGCCUAAAAAGCAUUGCAUAGCAAGGGCCGGGCAAGACCGGUGCCAGCCGCCGCGGUAACACCGGCGGCUCGAGUGGUAACCGUUAUUAUUGGGUCUAAAGGGUCUGUAGCCGGCCGGAUAAGUCUCUUGGGAAAUCUGGCAGCUCAACUGUCAGGCUUUCAGGAGA
rnacentral:rRNA from 1 species